CCUACGGGGGGCAGCAGUGGGGAAUAUUGCACAAUGGGCGCAAGCCUGAUGCAGCCAUGCCGCGUGUGUGAAGAAGGCCUUCGGGUUGUAAAGCACUUUCAGCGGGGAGGAAGGCGUUAAGGUUAAUAACCUUGUCGAUUGACGUUACCCGCAGAAGAAGCACCGGCUAACUCCGUGCCAGCAGCCGCGGUAAUACGGAGGGUGCAAGCGUUAAUCGGAAUUACUGGGCGUAAAGCGCACGCAGGCGGUCUGUCAAGUCGGAUGUGAAAUCCCCGGGCUCAACCUGGGAACUGCAUUCGAAACUGGCAAGCUAGAGUCUUGUAGAGGGGGGUAGAAUUCCAGGUGUAGCGGUGAAAUGCGUAGAGAUCUGGAGGAAUACCGGUGGCGAAGGCGGCCCCCUGGACAAAGACUGACGCUCAGGUGCGAAAGCGUGGGGAGCAAACAGGAUUAGAUACCCCUGUAGUC
rnacentral:rRNA from 1 species